rnacentral:piRNA from 1 species
UAGUUUCUUUUUUAUGUAGUC